CGUCGAGAUAUUAGUAACAUAUCACAUGUUCACGUGAUCCUGGAAAAUUGGAAGCGCAUUCUCCGUUAAUUCAACAUUUGUGGGGAAAAGAAAAAUCGCCCACUAAACCCUAACAUUUGACCAGUUCUCGACUUCUCUAUUACUCACCGUUUUUGUCUUCAUCUUCAAUAACUCACCGUCUUCAUCUCCUUCAGUCAUCUCUACUGCGAAAUGCCCCAUUUCUUAAUGAAUUAUGCAAUGUUUGAACACACAAUUGAGAAGCUGACACAUGGUGUCUUAAUUCCUAGAAUAUGUUACACAAACGGAGGCAGACCUCAUGUAGCAACUAUAAAUACAUAUUCCUUUUUUCUCUUUUGGUGCUGCUGGAAAAUUGGGUUCAUGACACAUUAUUUUUGAGCUAAAGAAGAGCAUGGUUGUACCUACACUUAUUAGGGCCAAAUCUAAACUAUCUUUUUUAGAGGAACUGUAAGACUUAUGUUGGAUGUGCUUAUUGACAUAGUUUGCUUUUAAAAAAAAAGAGACAAGGUUGUUACUGAUAACAGACCGAUACAGUAAUUCAUGAGGAUGACUCACUACGUGACUACGUACUGACUGAAGAAGUUUUAGAUGAUGCUGAAGAAGCGAAUGUCAAAAAGAAGACCAAAAAAUUACUUGGUGAAUUAAACUGUCAAUGCUGGAAGGAGACAAUAUUACUCUGAUGCUGAAUACGAAGAUGAACAUGGAGAAGGUAUGAGCCUAGUAGAACUUUGGCAAGCUUCUUAUAAGAAGGAUGGAACCUUUAUUGACGGCACAAUAACUGAAGAGAUGAGAAUGCAAAGAUGAUAGUCAAUGACAACACUGUUUUAUAGGUUUUAGAAUCCGUUCGCAGUGGCUAACCCUCCGGUAUUAUUUAAACCCUUUCACUUAGAAUUUAAACCCUUUCGUAUGGCUAACCCUUUCGCAGUGACAACACUGUUUUGUGCAAAGACACUGCACAAAUAGCCUUGCGUAUGGCUAACCCUCCGGUAUUAUUUAAACCCUUUCACUUGGAAUUUUCUACUGCUUUCUAUGUCUGAUUAUGUGAAGUUUGUGAUCGAUGGACUAACUAUAAUAGUUAAGAUCUAACGAACUUUACAAAACUGAACUGAUCUGAACUUCUGCCUGCCCUUUGCUAAUUCUAAAAAUUCAAAAGAAGAAACUGGCAGAGACCAGCACCAAGCCCUUUUCUGCGAUAUCAUAACAAAAGGAAAUUCUUGCUAUUUAACCUGGUAUAUAUUGCUUAUUGCUGAUUCUGAGAAAUAUUUGUUGUCUAACUUAUGAUUAGUAAUACUACUCGACCGAUUGUUAUGAUUGAUGAUUACGGGGUCGGUCAAAACUCAGCUAAAACUAAAACUCUUAAGCCCUUUGUUUUUUUAAUCGAGAGCAGGAACAUUAACUUGCUCUUUUUUUUUAACGAGUCAUCUCCAACAGGCCGUCUUUAUAAACAAAAGCAAGCAAAAAAACAAAUAAGUUAGGUACGGUUAAGAGUCACUAAUGUGUGCAGCACAAAUCAACUGAACUUCAUAGUACAUAACAAAGUAUAAAUACAACCAGUAAUGAAUUAUAUGAAGUUCAUAUAUUUGGUGCUUAUUACACUUGGUGUAAUAACCAAUCUGUUCAUUGUUCAUUCUUUAUAGUGGACAUAUAUUUCUAAUUUACUUUUACACCGCGAGAGAAACUAUUACUUACCAUUUUUAAUUUUUUUUCGAAGGUCCGUAGAAGAAAGGAAUCAAGGGAUGUAUAGCUCCUUCAACAAUAAGCCCAUAUUCUUGAAUUUAUAGGCUUUGAAUGGCCUUUCUUCUGAAGAUGACAUUUUAGAAUAAUAGGUCAAUUGAAAUUGUAAUAAUAUAUUGAAGACGUUAUGCGUUAUUUUUAAGUUUGUGCUUUGAUGAUACUAGCUAAAUAGUUUGGAUAAUAUGUAAACUUUGAUGAUACGUUUAUGACGUAUUAUUAUAUAAAAUAUUAGUAUAUAUAUCUUUAAGUUA